AACGAACGCUGGCGGCAGGCUUAACACAUGCAAGUCGAGCGCCCCGCAAGGGGCGCGGCAGACGGGUGAGUAACGCGUGGGAAUCUACCCAUCUCUACGGAAUAACGCAUGGAAACGUGUGCUAAUACCGUAUACGUCCUUUGGGAGAAAGAUUUAUCGGAGAUGGAUGAGCCCGCGUUGGAUUAGCUAGUUGGUGGGGUAAAGGCCUACCAAGGCGACGAUCCAUAGCUGGUCUGAGAGGAUGAUCAGCCACACUGGGACUGAGACACGGCCCAGACUCCUACGGGAGGCAGCAGUGGGGAAUAUUGGACAAUGGGCGCAAGCCUGAUCCAGCCAUGCCGCGUGAGUGAUGAAGGCCCUAGGGUUGUAAAGCUCUUUCACCGGUGAAGAUAAUGACGGUAACCGGAGAAGAAGCCCCGGCUAACUUCGUGCCAGCCGCCGCGGUAACAC
rnacentral:rRNA from 1 species